rnacentral:rRNA from 1 species
GACGUAGGGCGCGAGCGUUGUCCGGAUUUAUUGGGCGUAAAGAGCUCGUAGGCGGCUUGUCGCGUCGAAUGUGAAAACCCGCAGCUCAACUGUGGGCUUGCAGCCGAUACGGGCAGGCUUGAGUUCGGUAGGGGAGACUGGAAUUCCUGGUGUAGCAGUGAAAUGCGCAGAUAUCAGGAGGAACACCGGUGGCGAAGGCGGGUCUCUGGGCCGAUACUGACGCUGAGGAGCGAAAGCGUGGGGAGCGAACAGG